rnacentral:rRNA from 1 species
AAAACCUUACCUACCCUUGACAUGUAGCGAAUUUUCUAGAGAUAGAUUAGUGCCUUCGGGAACGCUAACACWGGUGCUGCAUGGCUGUCGUCAGCUCGUGUCGUGAGAUGUUGGGUUAAGUCCCGCAACGAGCGCAACCCUUGUCAUUAAUUGCCAUCAUUUAGUUGGGCACUUUAAUGAGACUGCCGGUGACAAACCGGAGGAAGGUGGGGAUGACGUCAAGUCCUCAUGGCCCUUAUGGGUAGGGCUUCACACGUAAUACAAUGGCGCGUACAGAGGGUUGCCAACCCGCGAGGGGGAGCUAAUCUCUAAAGCGCGUCKUAUCCGGAUCGGAGUCUGCAACUCGACU